rnacentral:lncRNA from 1 species
GCAGAGGGAACAGCAAGAGUCAAGUUCCUGAGGCAAGAAUACCCCAUGACUGUUCAAAACAGCAAGAACCCAGUGAGGAUGGAGCGUAGUGAGCAAGGAAGACAGAGGAGGGGGGCAAUCCUUUUAAUGGCGUCAGCCCACCCUCACUGUAGGGAAUAUGUAUUGCUGGAUUUCACUCUCUUGCUUUUGUACUUAACCUCCUCGGACUUCAGGUUCUGAGAGUUCUUUAUUCUACAAACCGAUUCGUAAUGCCUGUCCUUCAAACCUCUCCUGUUUUGAUGAUGACCAUGAUGAUGAUGAUGAUGAUGAUGGUGGUGAUAAUGAACAGUUACCAUGAGCCAGAGACUGUGCUCAGGAAAUUAUAACUCCUCACAACAACCCAAUGAGUAAGAUGAGAUGCCCUGAAAUAAUGCAGCAAUCUUGAGACGAGUCGGCAUGCCAAUACACUGAGGAUGGUGGAGCAGAGAGUUAGGAAGAGUCUUGGACUUUGGAG